CAGAUCUAUUUAGGUUGCCAACAUGUUUAACAAACCCGACCCAUUUAUACGCAAUACAUUAUCUCCAAAACCGUUUACCUACCUCUCCGAUCCUUUCCCUUUUGUUCCUCCAAAUCCAAACUUUUGAGUUUAUCUGCACCGUGUUUUCCUUUCCAAUUUGGACCUAGAAAUAAAUCUUGUGCGAGAGCAAUCUACAACUUUGUGGUUUUCACAGGUUAGGGUUUUCACCCCGUUUAAUCUUCCCAACAACCACAAUCUUGCAUCUUUUAUUUUAUAUCAAAGAUUCAAAGGUAUGUUCUACUUUUUUUUUUUCUUGUAUUUGGUUCUACAACUGUGUUGAUAUUUGUGGUUCAAUUUUUAUGAGGUAUGUGUUAUGUAGAGAUACCAAUACCUACUGUCGGUUAGUUUAUUGUUAUAAGUCUAUUUAUUUACAUCACUAUCCAACAUACAUGGGGUCUUCAAUGCCGUAUACAUUUUUUUAUUGACUCUGUUAUUUCAUAUUGAUUUUUUUUUCUAUUCAAGUCCAUAUUAUGAAUGAUUAAUUUAAAUUAUGUAUACUACAUUGAUAUAAUCUGGUCAAACAUUGUGAUUAAAUAAAUUCAUUUUACCAUAACACACAUAUAAGGUUAAUAUGCUAAUGUGUUGCAGGAUGCUUCUGAAAUUACUGAACAUAUAAGAUGUGCAUCCAUUUAUGUAUGUUGAAAGAUGCUAAAUAAUCCUAUCUCAGUUGCUGAUUUUUAAGCUAUCUCUAAUACAGUUUAGUUUUGCUCGGUUUAAGAUGUGGACACUAGAUAAUUUUCUUGUGACAUACAAUAUCUUUCAAGUUUGGAUCAACCGAUAUUGUGUUUACUGUUUAGAAACAAUGUAAGCCAAAUGAAGCCGAACAUGUUGUCUCUGCAUGUGUAUCUCACUGGUUUACCAUAUGCUAAUUCUCCAUUUAUAGAAGGAAAUCCAAAUGGUUAUCUCAGCAUGAGGAAGUGUGUUUCUUCUAAACAUGCUAAAGGACAUAAGGUAAUAUGACCAUAUAAAAAGUAAAUUUCUUACUUAUGGACUGUACAAUAUUUUGUUUAUAGGUCAGGUUUGGUUUUUAAAAUACUUAUCUGAUUGUGACCAUCUGCAUUGAUUUUCUAUUUAGUUCGAUGUCGGAUUUGCCCAAAAGUUUUGAACAUCAUCGGGGUAUUCAAAAUCAAAAGACUUGGGAAGUGGGUAUUUGCUACAUGGAGCCGGAGGUUAGGUUGCCCACCUGAAACUGUAGCUGAAUUUGAUCAAAGAAACUGUCAAUUUUGAAUGGACCAGAUUACGUCUCGUAUUAGCAUGUGGCUCUAAACCUAAGGGGAUCGGGACCAGAAUUGGCCAAUUGGGUUGGCUGGGGUUUGAUCGAUGGUUCAGAUCCAUCUAUCACUAUAAAACAUGCGAGUUUGGGAAGAGUCGAUGAUGAGACAUGUUGCAGCUGUUGGUGAAACUUAUGCCAAAACUGCUUUUGAAGAUUUUUCAUGGAACGUCUGGCUAAGUCCAUAUUUAGCUAGGACAUCUACUUCGAAGUUCGAACAACCCUUCUACAAGUGAUAUAAGACAACAAGGGCAUGAUUGUGGUUCAGUUACUUGUCAAAUUUACUUACAAUGGUUGAAAUGGGCCGUGAAGUUCUUCCCCGUGUUCCAGAUGAAUUAAUAUUGUGGGCAUCGCUUUUUUUCUUAUUUAAAUCAAUUUUUGUGUUUAUUUUUGUAUAUUGUAAGUUUCAUUCCUGAUGAUAGCUGCUUGUACUACUCGAGAACACUAAUCAAGUUUUUAUUGUUAUAUUGAUUUUAGGCCUAAAUUGGAACAUAUACAAAAUCAUAUUUAAUAAGAUUGUAAAGCAGUUGAUGGUUAUUUUGA